rnacentral:rRNA from 1 species
CCUCGGAGAGUUUGAUCCUGGCUCAGGACGAACGCUGGCGGCGUGCCUAAUACAUGCAAGUCGAGCGAACAGAAGGGAGCUUGCUCCCGGAUGUUAGCGGCGGACGGGUGAGUAACACGUGGGUAACCUGCCUGUAAGACUGGGAUAACUCCGGGAAACCGGAGCUAAUACCGGAUAGUUCCUUGAACCGCAUGGUUCAAGGAUGAAAGACGGUUUCGGCUGUCACUUACAGAUGGACCCGCGGCGCAUUAGCUAGUUGGUGGGGUAAUGGCUCACCAAGGCGACGAUGCGUAGCCGACCUGAGAGGGUGAUCGGCCACACUGGGACUGAGACACGGCCCAGACUCCUACGGGAGGCAGCAGUAGGGAAUCUUCCGCAAUGGACGAAAGUCUGACGGAGCAACGCCGCGUGAGUGAUGAAGGUUUUCGGAUCGUAAAGCUCUGUUGUUAGGGAAGAACAAGUGCGAGAGUAACUGCUCGCACCUUGACGGUACCUAACCAGAAAGCCACGGCUAACUACGUGCCAGCAGCCGCGGUAAUACGUAGGUGGCAAGCGUUGUCCGGAAUUAUUGGGCGUAAAGGGCUCGCAGGCGGUUUCUUAAGUCUGAUGUGAAAGCCCCCGGCUCAACCGGGGAGGGUCAUUGGAAACUGGGGAACUUGAGUGCAGAAGAGGAGAGUGGAAUUCCACGUGUAGCGGUGAAAUGCGUAGAGAUGUGGAGGAACACCAGUGGCGAAGGCGACUCUCUGGUCUGUAACUGACGCUGAGGAGCGAAAGCGUGGGGAGCGAACAGGAUUAGAUACCCUGGUAGUCCACGCCGUAAACGAUGAG